GAUGAACGCUGGCGGAGUGUAUAAUACAUGCAAGUCGAGCGAACGGACGAGAAGCUUGCUUCUCUGAUGUUAGCGGCGGACGGGUGAGUAACACGUGGAUAACCUACCUAUAAGACUGGGAUAACUUCGGGAAACCGGAGCUAAUACCGGAUAAUAUUUUGAACCGCAUGGUUCAAAAGUGAAAGACGGUCUUGCUGUCACUUAUAGAUGGAUCCGCGCUGCAUUAGCUAGUUGGUAAGGUAACGGCUUACCAAGGCAACGAUGCAUAGCCGACCUGAGAGGGUGAUCGGCCACACUGGAACUGAGACACGGUCCAGACUCCUACGGGAGGCAGCAGUAGGGAAUCUUCCGCAAUGGGCGAAAGCCUGACGGAGCAACGCCGCGUGAGUGAUGAAGGUCUUCGGAUCGUAAAACUCUGUUAUUAGGGAAGAACAUAUGUGUAAGUAACUGUGCACAUCUUGACGGUACCUAAUCAGAAAGCCACGGCUAACUACGUG
rnacentral:rRNA from 1 species